UACGUAGGGGGCUAGCGUUGUCCGGAAUUACUGGGCGUAAAGCGUGCGCAGGCGGUUUUGUAAGCCAGAUGUGAAAGCCCCGGGCUUAACCUGGGAAUGGCAUUUGGGGCUGCAAGGCUGGAGUUUGGCAGAGGAGACUGGAAUUCCUGGUGUAGCAGUGAAAUGCGUAGACAUCAGGAGGAAUACCGAUGGCGAAGGCAGGUCUCUGGGCUAUAACUGACGCUCAUGCACGAAAGCGUGGGGAGCAAACAGG
rnacentral:rRNA from 1 species